rnacentral:rRNA from 1 species
UACGAAGGGGGCUAGCGUUGCUCGGAAUGACUGGGCGUAAAGGGCGCGUAGGCGGAUGGCACAGUCAGAUGUGAAAUUCCCGGGCUUAACCUGGGGGCUGCAUUUGAUACGUGUUGUCUAGAGUGAGGAAGAGGGUUGUGGAAUUCCCAGUGUAGAGGUGAAAUUCGUAGAUAUUGGGAAGAACACCGGUGGCGAAGGCGGCUACCUGGACCGGUUCUGACGCUGAUGCGCGAAAGCGUGGGUAGCAAACAGG